GACGAACGCUGGCGGCGUGCCUAAUACAUGCAAGUUGAGCGCUGAAGGUUGGUACUUGUACCAACUGGAUGAGCAGCGAACGGGUGAGUAACGCGUGGGUAAUCUGCCUUUGAGCGGGGGACAACAUUUGGAAACGAAUGCUAAUACCGCAUAAAAACUUUAAACACAAGUUUUAAGUUUGAAAGAUGCAAUUGCAUCACUCAAAGAUGAUCCCGCGUUGUAUUAGCUAGUUGGUGAGGUAAAGGCUCACCAAGGCGAUGAUACAUAGCCGACCUGAGAGGGUGAUCGGCCACAUUGGGACUGAGACACGGCCCAAACGCCUACGGGAGGCAGCAGUAGGGAAUCUUCGGCAAUGGACGAAAGUCUGACCGAGCAACGCCGCGGGAGGGAAGAAGGUUUUCGGAUCGUAAAACUCUGUUGGUAGAGAAGAACGUUGGUGAGAGUGGAAAGCUCAUCAAGUGACGGUAACUACCCAGAAAGGGACGGCUAACUACGUG
rnacentral:rRNA from 1 species